rnacentral:rRNA from 1 species
AUUGAACGCUGGCGGCAGGCCUAACACAUGCAAGUCGAGCGGAUGAAGGGAGCUUGCUCCUGGAUUCAGCGGCGGACGGGUGAGUAAUGCCUAGGAAUCUGCCUGGUAGUGGGGGAUAACGUCCGGAAACGGGCGCUAAUACCGCAUACGUCCUGAGGGAGAAAGUGGGGGAUCUUCGGACCUCACGCUAUCAGAUGAGCCUAGGUCGGAUUAGCUAGUUGGUGGGGUAAAGGCCUACCAAGGCGACGAUCCGUAACUGGUCUGAGAGGAUGAUCAGUCACACUGGAACGGAGACACGGUCCAGACUCCUACGGGAGGCAGCAGUGGGGAAUAUUGGACAAUGGGCGAAAGCAUGAUCCAGCCAUGCCGCGUGUGUGAAGAAGGUCUUCGGAUUGUAAAGCACUUUAAGUUGGGAGGAAGGGCAGUAAGUUAAUACCUUGCUGGUUUGACGUUACCAACAGAAUAAGCACCGGCUAACUUCGUG